GCCAUAGCUCAGUGGUUAGAGCACCUGCUCUGCAUGCUGAAUGUUUUGGGUUCAAUUUCCCAGUAACAAUU